rnacentral:rRNA from 1 species
AUUGAACGCUGGCGGCAGGCCUAACACAUGCAAGUCGAGCGAGCGGCGGACGGGUGAGUAAUGUAUGGGGACUGCCCGAUAGAGGGGGAUAACUACUGGAAACGGUGGCUAAUACCGCAUACUGUCGGAGACCCCAUAUGGGAUUAGCUAGUAGGUAAGGUAAUGGCUUACCUAGGCGACGAUCCCUAGCUGGUCUGAGAGGAUGAUCAGCCACACGGAGAAUGAGACACGGCCCAGACUCCUACGGAGGCAGCAGUGGGGAAUAUGGCACAAGAGGCGCAGGCCUGAUGCCGCCGUGCCGAGUGUAUGAAGAAGGCCCUAGGGGUGUAAAAUACUUUCAGUCGGGAGGCGUUACCGACAGAAGAAGCACCGGCUAACUCCGUGCCAGCAGCCGCGGUAAUAC